rnacentral:tRNA from 1 species
CGAGGUGUGGCUCAGUUUGGUAGAGCAAUACGUUCGGGACGUAUGGGCCGCUGGUUCGAAUCCAGUCACCUCGACCA